UGCCCAGCAACUCCUAUCCCUACCUCCUCGUGGUACUGGCCGGGGUACGAGUAACCUUGGGGAAGAUCGGGUAACCAACCCCCGGUGGGAACUUUGGUCAUAUGCUGACAGGGAAGG
rnacentral:ribozyme from 1 species